rnacentral:lncRNA from 10 species
AAGCGAUUCUUGUGCCUUAGCCUCCUGAGUAGCUGGUGACUGCCACCACGCCCAGCUAAUUUUUGUAUUUUUUUUAGUUGAGAAGGGGUUUCGCCAUGCUGGCUAGGCUGAUCUUGAAUUCCUGACAUCAAGUGAUCCGCCCCUUCUUGGCAUCCCAAAGUGCUGGGAUUACAGGUGUGAGCCACUGUGCCUGGCUUGAUA